rnacentral:lncRNA from 1 species
GUUCUUGCCUCGGGUGCUUUUUUAGUGAAGGGGUCGUUGAUUUCUUAAACGGUUUUUCCGUUUUGAGGUUGUUGCCUGAACUUCAAAUUCUUAUAUGAAAAUGAUUGAAUGUGAAAAAAACAUGGUAGUUUCUCUAGUGAGAAUAUUUUGCUUCUUAUAUAGGCAUUUCAAUAAAAAAUGCAUAUAAAUACAUGAUCCACAAAUAUAUUACUUAUUUAUCUACUAUUAAAUGCAAGAAAUCAAAUUAUUUCAAUUUUGGAAAUAUUGUACAACUGAAUAUUAAAAGAAGAGAAAAAUAAAAAUUGAUUUUGGCAACAAAAAUUGUUCACUAAAGUAGACAUGUCAACUCAUGUCGUAUUUCCAUCAAUAUCUUUCUUGUCAGCAUUCUCAGCUGAUAUCCAUUUAAAGUUUGGUGAGGGAUGACACUUACGAGCACAAAAAGGUUCACAUAGCUCUCCACCAGCACAGUGUCUCAAGCAAAAUUCAAAACAUUGUAAUUGUGGAUAUUCAUCAGCAAGACAUGGUACUCUAGCCAACAACAACGAAAUUGUAAUCACAUUACACAAUAUCCCUAUAAUGAUUGUCCUCACAGUUAGUGCCAUGACUCUUCUCCUUGUGUUUCAAUUGAAAAUUUUGGAGUUAGAGUGGAGGUAAUUUUCUUUGUUUUGGGAUAGAAACA